rnacentral:rRNA from 1 species
AUACGUAGGGAGCGAGCGUUGUCCGGAUUUACUGGGUGUAAAGGGUGCGUAGGCGGCUCUGCAAGUCAGGUGUGAAAACCAUCGGCUUAACUGAUGGACUGCAUUUGAAACUGUGGGGCUUGAGUGGAGUAGAGGCAGACGGAAUUCCCGGUGUAGCGGUGAAAUGCGUAGAGAUCGGGAAGAACACCAGUGGCGAGGGCGGUCUGCUGGGCUCUAACUGACGCUGAGGCACGAAAGCAUGGGUAGCGAACAGGAUUGGAUACCCUGGUAGUCCAUGCCGUAAACGAUGAUUACUAGGUGUGGGGAGUCUGACCCUCUCCGUGCCGGAGUUAACACAAUAAGUAAUCCACCUGGGAAGUACGACCGCGAGGUUAAA